GGCCUGCUGGGGGAGGGGGCCGCGGGGGGCGGGGGAGCUCACCUCCGCCAUUCUUGUAGCACAGGCUGCAGCCGUCUCCUCCCGGUGCUCGCUCCUUCCUUGAGCUCUGUCCACCGCUGCCCACUGGGGGCUAGAGCUUCCCGGCUACCCUGGAAGCUGGAGGCUGGGACCAGCUCUUCAGGUGACAGGCCUCUGUGUCUCCACAGUGGCCAGAGGGGAGCCUGCCUGACUGAUGAGCAAGGCUCCACUUUGUCACCAAGGCAGAGAAGGGGCCCGGCUCCCUGAUCUGAUCGUGGACACUGCAGUCCCCAGAUGGCUCAUCCCGUUAAGCUAAGCCCUCGGCCAUCCCUCCAGCUUUAGGAAGAAAAGCAGUUCUGGCCCAAGCCAGACUGAGCUUCCUGGGGUCUUCUCUGGCCCAGCCUUUGACUGAAGCUGGUCUGGAGACAGGGGCGUUAGAGAAGUGACUCAUAGAUGGCCUAAAUAAGCGGGGCCACUCAAGGACCCAGGACAGGGGGAAGAGGGCCAACCCAUCUGGACCGCAGGCAAACCCCAUGGCCUUUGAGAGAAGAGAGAAGAGGACCCGGUGAAGUAGGCUCCGAGGGCCUCAGCCCAGCAGGAGCGCAGGGAGCUGCACCAGGAACUCACAGAGGAUCAGGGAGAAUUCUGAGAACAUGCUACUGUGGUGCUGCCUAGAGAGGAAGGAUAAAUGAUGACAAGUACAUCUCUGAGUAACGUAUGGCCACUUGUUCAUGAAAACUGUUUUUCUGAAAGCUUGUGAAGGUCUUGAAAUACUCGCUAUCAGUUGAGGACAAACAUUUACACCCUCCUUCCACAGGGAGUUCAAGCAGGCUGGAUGGGUCCAUCUAUGGAUGAUCUUCCCCAGCCCCUUCCUCUUCCCAGCUCAUUCCUGGCUCUCUGUGUGAACAGGUCUCAUCAGUGGAAUGUGGUUGAUGAAGUGAGGUCUUCAAUUUUCUCAUCUACUGUGUGGUCAUGUUAUUUUCCUCAUCUGAGGCUUAAAAACUCACCUGCAUGCAGCACAUGACAGCUUAAAAUCUCUUGUGAACAAAACAGUAACAAAGACACCCACCAGCGUUGAGCAUCCCGUGUUGAUGACAGCGACCACCAUGGGUCAACGUCCUCUUCACAAUCCUGUGUCAGAGCAUCACUUGACUGAUUUCAUUAGCAACUUCCCAGGAGAAUCAGCUUACAAAAUACUUGUCCCAUUUUCCAUGCAGAUGUAACCCAUCUAUUUUACUGAAGAAAUGGGAAGAGCUGAAUGCUGAAUACACUGAAUGUCUGCAGGUUGUGCAAGUUUGUGACUUUAUCACUUUCUAAUUUCUGAUCUGUGUGGACCACUCUACAGAUUUUUCUCACUGGUGUGAUCAGCCUUCUGGAUGUCAAAUAUAAUAGACUUUCAACAAUAUAAAAGUCAACACAAGCUCCUCAUGGUUUCAGUGCUCAGUGAUGACUCUAAACUUACACAAUGUGUUUCUUUAUUAGUUUUGUUUUCUGGUAUCUCUACUCGGCAUCUUCACCACACCCAUUUUAUGUUUCUUAUACAGGUAAUUGAUAAUUUUAAAAUUUAUUGGUGCUUACUUUAAUUAAAUAAGCAGACAGUAUCUUAGAAUUUAAAAAAAAUGUGCAGUAAAAGGAAAUGCAAUAAAUUUUAAUGUAAGGAAACC
ensembl:lncRNA novel transcript